rnacentral:lncRNA from 1 species
ACUUAAAAGCACACUGUCCCUAUUGGUUGACUUACUGUUGAAUGGAUGCAUGUUUAACUGAACUUAAUUGUAAUGACCCCUUAAUCUUAAUUUUACCUUCCUAGAUUGGCCCUAAUCUGAUGUUUGUUUGCUUCCUGGGGAAACACAGGUUUGUACCUUCCGGCAGAGCUCAGGCAGAAGUAGGGCCACUGGGUUGGAAGCUCUAGUGGGUGUGGCCCUUCUGGCUGUAGGAAGCAGGGGUGGGGAGAGUUGCCUACCCUGCCAUCCUGGUGUUCCCAGGGCAGAGUGGGCGAGGUAGCAUGCUCUGCCAUUGAGUUUUUCCUGGGACAACAGGAAGUUGUGGCCUCCAGCUGAGUUCACACAG